rnacentral:rRNA from 1 species
GACGAACGCUGGCGGCGUGCCUAAUACAUGCAAGUUGAGCGCUGAAGGAUGGUACUUGUACCCACUGGAUGAGCAGCGAACGGGUGAGUAACGCGUGGGGAAUCUGCCUUUUAGCGGGGGACAACAUUUGGAAACGAAUGCUACUACCGCAUAAAAACUUUAAACACAAGUUUUAAGUUUGAAAGAUGCAAUUGCAUCACUCAAAGAUGAACCCGCGUUGUAUUAGCUAGUUGGUGAGGUAAAGGCUCACCAAGGCGAUGAUACAUAGCCGACCUGAGAGGGUGGUCGGCCACAUUGGGACUGGGACACGGCCCAAACUCCUACGGGAGGGAGCAGGAGGGAAUCUUCGGACAUGGACGGAAGUCUGGCCGAGCAACGCCGGGGGGGUGAAGAAGGUUUUCGGAUCGUAAAACUCUGUUGGUAGAGAAGAACGUUGGGGAGGGUGAAAAGCUGAUCAAGUGACGGUAACUACCCAGAAAGCGACGGCUAACUACGUG